GAGGAUGCGAGCGUUAUCCGGAUUUAUUGGGUUUAAAGGGUGCGUAGGCCGUGAGUCAAGUCAGCGGUAAAAUUGAGAGGCUCAACCUCUUCGAGCCGUUGAAACUGAUUCACUUGAGUGAGCGAGAAGUAUGCGGAAUGCGUGGUGUAGCGGUGAAAUGCAUAGAUAUCACGCAGAACUCCGAUUGCGAAGGCAGCAUACCGGCGCUCAACUGACGCUGAUGCUCGAAAGUGCGGGUAUCAAA
rnacentral:rRNA from 1 species